CAAGCACUUGAAAAUUACCAGAAGGAUCUCAACGAAGCGAAAGACCAGGAACAGCAAGAGGAAUCUGCAAAAAAAUCGUCCGUUCGCGAUAGGAUAUUAUCGAAACCCAAAUUGCAACAUGAGCUUGAAAAGUAUCCCCGUAAUCACUUGAAACAAGUUAAUUUCAAGCAAAGUACUUUGGAGUUUAUAGUCAGUGAUACAGCUCCAUUUUCAGUCGUUGAAGGAAAAGGAUUCCGGAAAAUGAUCGCAGCAGCCGACCCCAAGCUGACCGUUCCAUGUUCCAGCACAAUGCGAAAUGACUUAGAAAAAAACACGAAAUGGUCAAGACCAACAUCAAGGAUGAACUUCGUAGAAUGCCCGCGAAGUCGUUAAAUAUUAUGCUUGACAUUUGGACAUCUUCCCAGAAAGUUUUAGUUAUUGGAUUCACCGCUCAAUAUUAAAAGGAUUGGUGAAUUUGUCAAUUAACAUUGGGAUUCAAAGAAUUUUCUGAGUCGCACACUGCAGAAAACAUCAAAAAUAGAGUUGACGAGUAUUUAUUUUCGGAGCUUGGGUUGAAACAGCAACAGAUUUCCAGCAUCACGGCUGACAACGCGUCCAAUAUUCUCUCAGCCUUUAAGAUUAGCCUUUACGAUUAUAUUUAUUUCGGAUGACUUAAAUUAAUAAG